CUGUGUCACGGAGUUUCCCGACGGGCAGAAAUCUGAACUUGUUGCUAGGUCCCUUGAGUCACUCAGCAGCAGUAGAUGACCUACAGGAACAGCUCCACUCUGCCUCCAACUCAAGCUGUACAGAGGGGAGCAGGGUCGUCCAAGGGAGAGAGCAGAGGGACGUGGGAGCGCCUCCAGCCUCCCAGACCAGCCACUGAACUAUAUGCAUCUCCCCCAUAUUCUCCACUUUUUCUCACACCUUUUUUUUACUUUCUUGUCUUCUCUUUCACCAUCUCCUGUUAGCAUCCUCUCCAUCUCUUUGCUCCCUGCCCUAUAUUUCACACAUGUGCUUAAUUGUAAUUGUUUUAUCGUGCGGCUGUUUGUCCCGUGGCUGUAUUCAUUAAGAGCAGACGCACACAAACAACCGCUUAGGAGGGAGAAAGAAAAGAAAGGAAAGAGGGUGGGGAAUUACCAGACGGACAAAUACGUUCAAGACGCACAUAUUCUCUGAGUGAUGGAUGCUAACACACCCACGAAACUGCACUAAUCCGGCUAACGUAAUACAAACAUGAACACAAAAACACAACAUCCAAGUGAUGAGCACAUAGUGGACGCUCGCUCACAGAUGUGGAUACGUGACCUGCUUCUUUCUUUUAUGGGAAAGUAGGUCCUGCUGCAACAGUAUGCAAAUAAGUCAAUAACAUGCAUGGUCACGAAACACAAGAGCAUGCAGACACAAGACUGUGCACACUGAGAGGAGACAAUGAAACACUCAUGCAGCAUCCUGGGAAUCGAAACAUGACGCACUGCGUGUAGAAGAGUCCCCCUUUCCUCUUCUUCUUCUUCAUUGCCACCAUGUGUGCACAAACAUCUUGUGAUAUAUUGUCAGUCUC